UAUGUUUAUUUUCCCUUUCUUCAUGAAACAUGAUCAGACAUGACACUGUUUUUCAACUAAGGUUGGACUUUCUAACACAGAAUUAUUCCUUUGCAGUAAAGAAGAGGGAUGUUCGCUCCUAUCUUCGGAAUGAACCCCGAGAAGCACCUUCUUAAUGCUGGAGGACGGACAGACAACCGACGCUCUUAAUGACAUCGACUUUGAAUGUGAAGCGCGCUACGAGAGGAAGCACUUGGCUCCAGCCGGGUUGGGACGUACUCUGAGCAGUGGGCUGCGGUCACGACCCACUUCUUCUGGAUGAGA